CUUCAACACGCGCACAUGUGACAUGCCCCAUGGUCGUCGCCGCUCCAGGCAUCCUCCCGUGGCCUCACCUCCCUCUCCCUUCCUCCUCCCACCCGUCUGACGCCUCUGACGCCGCCGCAGCAGCAACAGACGCCAACACCUCCGCGUAUGACAUCCAGAUCUUCGAGCCCACCUCCAUCGAGGAGCGUCGUCGCCUCCUGAUCCAGCGGCGUCGCCUCCGACUCGCCGCCUCCCAUGCCUCGCGGCUCACCGUUGCCUCGCGCGUCUCCUCCAAACUCAUCAGCACCACUGCCUCCUGCUCCAGCGGCGUCGCAUCCGAUCUGCCGCCUCCCCUCCUCAUGGCUCGUCGUUGCCUCCCGCCUCUUCCCCAACCUCGCCCUUGCCGCCCUUGGAGGAUCCCAAAUCCGACGACGAGCUCAGUAGGCCCACGCAGACGCGGAUGUGCUAUGAACUUCAGACAACAUAUUCCUACCGAGAAGUAUGAAAAGUACACUUCAGAGCAUGUCAAGGUCCUCACGAAAGCUUCCUAUCAAGUGGUUGUUUGCAAGAUUGACGAGUUGUAGGCACCAAAUAUAUCGAGUCCUUGCUAUCAACAUAUGAGCAUAUUAUUGUCAAAGUAGGCAACAUCUCAUUUAACAGACAACUCUCCGCUCUAUCAUUCUCUCAAGGCUGAUGUGCAUUUCUGAUAUAUUGAGCUCAAGCGUCAGAUUCUGUAUCGAUGGCAAUGGGUUCCAGAACAGUACACAAGGCAAUUUCAAGACGGUUAUUCAAUUGCUCAAAUAGUUCAGCGAAAGAAGGCUCAUGUGCUGCUUCGAAAAUCAGUUCUAAGAAGGCAACCAGGGACAACAAACCUGAUAAGGGAAGAAACAUGUUCUGGAUAAAUAUUGGCCUUUGUUUCAAGACUCCAAGCCCGCCACCAUCCAGGGAUCAAUCCUCACCACGAGG
rnacentral:misc_RNA from 1 species